UCCGAAGAACAGGAGCUCAGAGAUCUCGAUCUCCUUUUGGAAGAGCGCGGAGAAAAAAUGGGGAGCGAGAAAUAGGUUGCUGGUUUCCCUGAUUUUUUUUUUCUUGAAGUGCAGCAUUCGUGCAGGGUGACAACAUAUCCUACAAUUUCCCAAAGUUCAUAGUGCAUUUCAAAUAGAAGAGAAAAGCCAUGGCUGGUUGGCCUGCUAAGCAAAGCAGAAACAGACGGAACUCGUUUUCUGUUUCAUGCACACCCAUGAUGAUGAGAGGACAUUUGAGAGACUUCAAAGGAAAAGAGCCAAAAACAGAGAAACGAGAAUACUGCUAAAAAUUUAUUUGGCAGGGUUAAGUAUGGCAGUUGGAAUUAAUUCAGUGUUACUUAUUUCUGCACUUUAUUGCUCCUGCCAGGAAAGGCUAAAGAUACUGUACAAUAUUUUAAGAUUAAAAUUUCAAGGUGGAACUAAUUUUGAGAGGUAACAUCACAUUCUGGAAAACUGGUUUAUAUAAUACAUAUAGCUUUGCAAGGGUUACUAUAGCCCACUGCUAUACUAUAAAUCAAAGCACUCUAUAUUCAACAAGAUUUUAAACCAAGACUUUUUGUAGCUGAUUAGGUCCUAUAUAAGAAUGCUGAAUACCUGAGUAUGCUGUAUACUCUGUUGUAAUUAUUUAAAUUAUACAAAACUUGCAGAAAAAAACAAAUUAUAUUUAUGUUGUAUGACCACAGAAAUGGAAGAGCUGUUUCAUUUUACUUCUGUUGAAAGAGUUGAAAGUUUCAAACAAAAAGUCUACAUGCCUGCAGAUGCACUUUCCUGUAUCAUAUAGCCCGUGUUUGCUAUUGCUUUGCUUUGGUUAAAAACCUCCAUAUUUAAUUAGUCAAGAAAAAUAAAUCAGGAUUAAGGAACAUUUUAGGCAGCAGCUGAGCAACAGUUAUGCAUUUAUUAAUCACAGCAGCCAUUCUUUAAUAUUUCUCCUGAGUGAACGCUUAACUUAUUGCUGAAUUCUUUAUUUCUUAAAUGCAUUUUCUACAAUCCCACAUCUGGAAGCUUUCUCAAAAUAUAAGUCUCCUGAGCGUGCCUGGACUAAAUAAAGCCAAAAAUGGAAUCUCCAUUCUCUCAUGGCAGUCUGUGUUUCAAAAUUCACUUUGAAUUUGGAUGAAAAAAUAUUGAAACCUACCUCUAUUUAUUUUUUUUAAUCAGAAAUGUCAAAAUAGGUACCCUGUUUCCCUGAAAAUAAGACAUCCCCUGAUAAUAAGCCCAAUCGGGCUUUUGAGCGCAUGUGCUAACAUAAGCCUCCCUCCAAAAAUAAGCUCUCCCCAAAAAUAUUUAAACGCAGAGCUGGAAAUCAGGUAAGACGGCAAGAGGAGUCCCAUCUUGUUCCACAUACCCCAAAAUAAUAAGACCUCCCCGAAAAUAAGGCCAAGCACUUAUUUCGGGGUUCAAAAAAAUAUAAGACGGUCUUAUUUUUGG